rnacentral:sRNA from 1 species
UCGAGGUUACCUGCCGUGCUGCUUAGGGC